GGUAAGAAGAAGCCCAUGUGUGAGGCCCGCGCCCUGGCGGGAGCAUUGAAGGGGCAUCUGACAGGUUACACAACGCGUUGCUGAUCUAUCCAGGACGGCUUCAGGAUGGACUAUAAGAAGGAGGUUCAGUCCCGAUUGGGUCCGGCGCAACCUCAGGGAGUACAUAUACAGCGGCCUUGGUUUACGACGACGCACAAUGGCACAAAGAAGAACUAAGAGCAGCACUCUGGAGACUGAACAACCUCCUGAUGCGGAAAAUGAAUGGAUCGC